UGUCAAGGCGUAUACCGCUUGUCAGAUGACCGGCCAACUAUUAUCUUUGGUGCUGAUGUGACCCAUCCUCACCCGGGAGAGGAUUCAAUCCCCUCCAUCGCUGCUGUUGUGGCAUCACAAGAUUGGCCAGAGGUAACAAAGUAUGCUCAAGCCCAUCGCCAAGAGUUGAUUCAGGAUCUGUUUAAAGUAUGGCAGAAUCCAGUUCGAGGAACUGUGACGGGUGGCAUGGUUAAGGAACUUCUUAUCUUUUUCCGUAGAGCAACUGGACAGAAGCCUCUGCAUAUUAUAUUUUACAGGGAUGGAGUGAGGAUCAGUUUUACCAAGUUCUACUCUAUGAGCUUGAUGCUAUUUUCAAGGCUCGCCAGUUUCUUUCCACCUUAGGUGACAUCAUUCAAACUCGGAUUUUCGCUAAGAUCGAAAACCUCGAGGGGUCAACUCAUUUCGAUGAAAUCCUCCAAGAAACUGAUGGCAUUAUCCUAUCUCCACCAGUCCAGCAGUGUAUUGCUGUUAAUGCAUUGCGAGAAGAGAAGUUUGUGAUCUUUGUUAAGUGCCUCGAUGGUAAAAGUCUUACUAUCACUGUUGCGAAUACCGACUCAGUAACAAGCAUUAAAAAGGCAGUGUUCCAAAAACUGAAGCUUCCGCCGGACCUGCAAAGACUACUCUUCGCAGGAAAACAGCUCGAAGACGAGUUUUGCAUGUCUCAUUACAACAUUGUGAAGGACUCAGUGAUAAUAUUGUCCCUUAGACUACGAGGAGGAAGGGGUCCUUGACUAAGACAUCUCUGCCUGAAAUGCAAAAACGGCUACAGGACAGCAACAGAGUUGGCUGCUCAUAACUGCGAGCAUGCUGCUGCUGCUGCUAUCGCUGCCAGAACCAAUAAACUCAACAGCAUGUUUGUGCUUAUAGUAAAUAAUUUUGAUAAGCUAAUGGAAGUGAGGUUCGAGGACUUCAUGUGGACGCAUACGACUCUGUAUUCUUGUCUGAAUAGAGCAGAGCGUAGAUACAUGACUGAGCGCUGCGUGGAUAGAAUUCGUGGUACAAGGGAUGAGUAUAGUGCACAAAAUGCUCAGAAUGUCCUCAUAGCUGUGGAGGCACGGGCGGUAAGGAUGUAUCCAGAUCUGCCACCAGAACCACCAGCCCCAAAACCUCGCCUGUACACAAAUGCAAAGAAGGCCAUGAAAAGGGCAUAGGCACUACUUGAAAGGUUCGUGGCUGUAGUAUCUUUACAUUUGUACUAUUGCUGAAGCUAAUAAUGCACUUCUCGUACUCUUAUAUAUUGAAGUUUGUUAAAUGCCUAGCUUAAUGGUUUUUUUUAUAUGUUGUGUAACAACCAAACUGCAGAAACAUCUGCACAUCUUUUUAUAUCUUGUUCCUUCAC